ACCAGAAAGAGUUGUCUUUAAAUAUAGCCAUGCUUAUUUAUAACCCUGUGCCUUUUCCUUCUCUCAUCAGAAUUCUCUUGACAUUUGUGUCAAUAUUUUCCCUGUAUUCUGUUCAUCUCCUUUUGAAGACUGCCAAUGAAGGAGGGUCUUUAUUAUAUGAACAAUUGGGAUAUAAGGCAUUUGGAUUAGUUGGAAAGCUUGCAGCAUCUGGAUCAAUUACAAUGCAGAACAUUGGAGCUAUGUCAAGCUACCUCUUCAUAGUGAAAUAUGAGUUGCCUUUGGUGAUCCAGGCAUUAACGAACAUUGAAGAUAAAACUGGAUUGUGGUAUCUGAACGGGAACUAUUUGGUUCUGUUGGUGUCAUUGGUGGUCAUUCUUCCUUUGUCGCUGUUUAGAAAUUUAGGAUAUUUGGGAUAUACCAGUGGCCUUUCCUUGUUGUGUAUGGUGUUCUUUCUGAUUGUGGUCAUUUGCAAGAAAUUUCAGGUUCCGUGUCCUGUGGAAGCUGCUUUGAUAAUUAACGAAACAAUAAACACCACCUUAACACAGCCAACAGCUCUUGUACCUGAUUUGUCACAUA
rnacentral:sRNA from 1 species